UACGUAGGGUGCAAGCGUUGUCCGGAAUUAUUGGGCGUAAAGAGCUCGUAGGCGGUUUGUCGCGUCUGCUGUGAAAACCCGAGGCUCAACCUCGGGCCUGCAGUGGGUACGGGCAGACUAGAGUGCGGUAGGGGAGACUGGAAUUCCUGGUGUAGCGGUGAAAUGCGCAGAUAUCAGGAGGAACACCGGUGGCGAAGGCGGGGUCUC
rnacentral:rRNA from 1 species